AAACCAUGGUGAGGACAUUGCGUCUAAUAUCCCUUGAAGCGCUCCCAUGCUUCACAGAAAGUCUCAGCAUUCUUCUAGGUAAAGCCGGAAAUCUCAUUCCAGAGUCU
rfam:Arabidopsis lyrata subsp. lyrata unplaced genomic scaffold ARALYscaffold_6, whole genome shotgun sequence.